rnacentral:rRNA from 1 species
AUUGAACGCUGGCGGAAUGCUUUACACAUGCAAGUCGAACGGCAGCACGGACUUCGGUCUGGUGGCGAGUGGCGAACGGGUGAGUAAUGUAUCGGAACGUGCCCAGUCGUGGGGGAUAACGUAGUGAAAAUUACGCUAAUACCGCAUACGAUCUAUGGAUGAAAGCGGGGGAUCGCAAGACCUCGCGCGAUUGGAGCGGCCGAUAUCAGAUUAGGUAGUUGGUGGGGUAAAGGCCCACCAAGCCAACGAUCUGUAGCUGGUCUGAGAGGACGACCAUCCACACUGGAACUGAGACACGGUCCAGACUCCGACGGGAGGCAGCAGUGGGGAAUUUUGGACAAUGGGCGAAAGCCUGAUCCAGCCAUUCCGCGUGCAGGAUGAAGGCCCUCGGGUUGUAAACUGCUUUUGUACAGAACGAAAAGGUUUCUACUAAUACUAGGAGCUCAUGACGGUACUGUAAGAAUAAGCACCGGCUAACUACGUGCCAGCCGCCGCAGUAA